GGGCAGUGCGGCGGCUAAUACAUGCAAGUCGAGCGAAUGGAUUAAGAGCUUGCUCUUAUGAAGUUAGCGGCGGACGGGUGAGUAACACGUGGGUAACCUGCCCAUAAGACUGGGAUAACUCCGGGAAACCGGGGCUAAUACCGGAUAACAUUUUGAACCGCAUGGUUCGAAAUUGAAAGGCGGCUUCGGCUGUCACUUAUGGAUGGACCCGCGUCGCAUUAGCUAGUUGGUGAGGUAACGGCUCACCAAGGCAACGAUGCGUAGCCGACCUGAGAGGGUGAUCGGCCACACUGGGACUGAGACACGGCCCAGACUCCUACGGGAGGCAGCAGUAGGGAAUCUUCCGCAAUGGACGAAAGUCUGACGGAGCAACGCCGCGUGAGUGAUGAAGGCUUUCGGGUCGUAAAACUCUGUUGUUAGGGAAGAACAAGUGCUAGUUGAAUAAGCUGGCACCUUGACGGUACCUAACCAGAAAGCCACGGCUAACUACGUGCCAGCAGCCGCGGUAAUACGUAGGUGGCAAGCGUUAUCCGGAAUUAUUGGGCGUAAAGCGCGCGCAGGUGGUUUCUUAAGUCUGAUGUGAAAGCCCACGGCUCAACCGUGGAGGGUCAUUGGAAACUGGGAGACUUGAGUGCAGAAGAGGAAAGUGGAAUUCCAUGUGUAGCGGUGAAAUGCGUAGAGAUAUGGAGGAACACCAGUGGCGAAGGCGACUUUCUGGUCUGUAACUGACACUGAGGCGCGAAAGCUGAGACUG
rnacentral:rRNA from 1 species